rnacentral:snRNA from 1 species
GUUCAAUCAUCUCCCCUG